CUUGAGAUGGGAAUAAACCCGGGAAACUGGGUAUAAUACCCGAUAGAUCUCGACUGCUGGAAUGCAUCGAGAUCCAAAGCUCCGGCGCUCAAGGAUGGAUCUGCGGCCUAUCAGGUAGUAGUGGGUGUAGCGUACCUACUAGCCUACGACGGGUACGGGUUGUGAGAGCAAGAGCCCGGAGAUGGAUUCUGAGACACGAAUCCAGGCCCUACGGGGUGCAGCAGGCGCGAAAACUUUACAAUGCUGGAAACAGCGAUAAGGGGACCUCGAGUGCCAGGUUACAAAUCUGGCUGUCGUGAUGCCUAAAAAGCAUUGCAUAGCAAGGGCCGGGCAAGACCGGUGCCAGCCGCCGCGGUAACACCGGCGGCUCGAGUGGUAACCGUUAUUAUUGGGUCUAAAGGGUCUGUAGCCCGGCCGGAUAAGUCUCUUGGGAAAUCUGGCAGCUUAACUGUCAGGCUUUCAGGAGAUACUGUCUGGCUCGAGGCCGGGAGAGGUGAGAGGUACUUCAGGGGUAGGGGUGAAAUCUUGUAAUCCUUGAAGGACCACCAGUGGCGAAGGCGUCUCACCAGAACGGACCUGACGGCAAGGGACGAAAGCUAGGGGCACGAACCGGAUUAGAUACCCGGGUAGUCCUAGCCGUAAACGAUACUCGCUAGGUGUCGGCAACGGUGCGACCGUUGUCGGUGCCGUAGGGAAGCCGUGAAGCGAGCCACCUGGGAAGUACGGCCGCAAGGCUGAAACUUAAAGGAAUUGGCGGGGGAGCACCACAACGGGUGGAGCUUGCGGUUUAAUUGGAUUCAACGCCGGAAAUCUUACCGGGACCGACAGCAAUAUGAAGGCCAGGCUGAAGACUUUGCCGGAUUAGCUGAGAGGAGGUGCAUGG
rnacentral:rRNA from 1 species